AUACUUACCUGGCAGGGGCAAUACUGUGAUCACAAAGGUGGUGUUCCCAGGCCGAGGCUUAUCCAUUGCACUCCGGGUGUGCUGACCCCUGCGAUUUCCCAAAUGUGGGGAACUCGGCUGCAUCAUUUCCAGUAGUGGGGGACUGCGUUUGCGCUUUCCCCUG